GGAAGGGCCUGUAGCUCAGUGGUAGAGCACUUGCUUUGCAUACAGGAAGUCCCAUGUUCAAUUCUUGGCAUCUCCA